UACAGAGGGGGCAAGCGUUGUUCGGAAUUACUGGGCGUAAAGGGCGCGUAGGCGGCCUUCUAAGUCGAACGUGAAAUCCCUAGGCUCAACCUAGGAACUGCGUCCGAUACUGGGAGGCUUGAAUCCGGGAGAGGGAUGCGGAAUUCCAGGUGUAGCGGUGAAAUGCGUAGAUAUCUGGAGGAACACCGGUGGCGAAGGCGGCAUCCUGGACCGGUAUUGACGCUGAGGCGCGAAAGCCAGAGGAGCAAACGGG
rnacentral:rRNA from 1 species